AUAAUAUCUAUUUUCAGUUCAAAGUCAGUUCAAAAGUUUUUACCCCAUGAAACCGACAUUUGUCGAUUUUCGGGGUAAUAUGCUAUUUUGAAUGAGCCGAAUGACUUCGUAGUUCUAGCAGCUGCGUGGAUAUAGAUAACGUUUGCGCAUGACGAAGCCCAAGUGGAUGCACAAUGUUCUUUCGUUCAACGUCUGGAGAGCAGGAAGCCUGAUAUCUUUGACGUAAACUGAAAUAGCGCCACAUCAAAAUGCUCGCUGUAAUAUAAGGCGUAUUUGGGACAACAGCUUUGCUAAUUUGAAGGUGCCGCUUAUUCCUUCCAAUGAUCUCAGUGCAAUUAAGAUCUAUUGUAUAUAUAUAGCCUGAAGCAGAUUGUGUGGUCUUUCUCUCCCGCCUGCUAUGGCCAAAGGACCCGAUGGUAUUGGCAGCUUCUGGCGCAUGUUAGCCCACGGGCUGUGGACUACGCUUCUGCUUCUGCCACGCCCUCUAAAUUGCUGGUAUUCACAGCUAGAUUGACAAAUUAAGGACUACAAUGAAUUCUAAGGACCUCCACGAGGGACAAAGCUAAUUUUUCCAGGAUCAGACUUUAAUUAAGCCAGAUACAGCUAUUUUAAGUUCAAAUAAGCAAAAAUUUUAAUUAACGCUCGCUUUGUACACUUUUAAGAGAAAUAUUUAAGAAAAUUAGCAUAAAAAACAAUUAAAC